CUGCAUCCCACUGAUUUGACCAUGAGCACUUCUACUGCUCCUUGGUUUGCAACAAGAUGCAAAAGGAACUUCCUUGUACUUUUGUCUGCCUGAUCCUUUGAGAGCACAGAUUGAAUAGGGAAAAACAUGU
rnacentral:snoRNA from 1 species